AGUCCGAUCAACUGACUUCGCGCUCAGCCUGGUCUCUCCUAAGAGGAACAGCGGCCCAUGGCUGAGAGCAGCACCCUUGGGAAGGUGGGAAGGAGGAAAUGGACAGAGACAAGAAAUUACCCACAAUGCGCUUCGGAGAUUCUCUCUCUUGCUGGCUUUGAGGAAGUCGCUGCCAUGCUGUUAGCUGUCUAAAGAGAGGGCCACAUGAAAAGAAAGCGCAGAGCCAGCAAGAAACUGAGGCCUUCAGUCUGAUACUCCGAAAAGAAGAGGAAUGCUACCAAUAACCACUCAAGCUUGGAAGCACAGCCUUCCCCAGUUGAGCCUCAGAUGAGAGCACAGCCCCCGGGCAACACCUUGAGUGCAGUGAACCCAGUUAAGCUGCACUGAGACCCUGGCCCACAGAAACUGUGACGUAAUAAACAUACCUUGCUUUAAGCCACUAUGUUUGUCGUAGUUUGUUAUACAGCAGUAGAGAACUAAUACAGUUUCUUUCCCAGGGUAUGAGGCAACAUGUAAUGAAAGCAACCUGCACGAUGGGUUUUUGAACCGAAUGCAGGCAAAGCACAAAACUCAAUUGCAGGACUAUAUGUUUGCAUCUGUAAGACUCCAAUGUGACUGGGACGGCACUUGGGUUUCUCGGUUAUGCAAAGGACUGUACAAAAAAAUCCUCUUCCUGGUGCAAGCCUGAAAGAAGAGAGGACAGGCCCAGGGCCCAAGUGAGUCGCUCCUCCAGCCACCAGGAACUGAGCACAAGGGAGCGCCGAGAUACUGACCCUCCAGAGAAGGCACAACGAGAGACCUGCCA